rnacentral:rRNA from 1 species
GAGUUUGAUCGUGGCUCAGAUUGAACGCUGGCGGCAUGCCUUACACAUGCAAGUCGAACGGUAACAGGUCUUCGGAUGCUGACGAGUGGCGAACGGGUGAGUAAUACAUCGGAACGUGCCCGAUCGUGGGGGGAUAACGAGACGAAGCUUUGCUAAUACCGCAUAAGAUCUACGGAUGAAAGCAGGGGACCGCAAGGCCUUGCGCGAACGGAGCGGCCGAUGGCAGAUUAGGUAGUUGGUGGGAUAAAAGCUUACCAAGCCGACGAUCUGUAGCUGGUCUGAGAGGACGACCAGCCACACUGGGACUGAGACACGGCCCAGACUCCUACGGGAGGCAGCAGUGGGGAAUUUUGGACAA